rnacentral:tRNA from 1 species
AGUCGAGGUAGCCGACCGGUUCCACGAGGACGACGUUCUCGGCGUCGGCGAGCCGCGACCAGAGGCCGCUGGCUUCGAGCGCCCCCUCGGUCC